ACUUUUGGUGCCCUCACGCUUUCAGCGCAUGAAAAAUCUGGUUGGGUUGUCAAUAUCUAACAAUAGGUUGUAAGCUUGAUGUCAUAAAAAUUUAUACAAGAUGAUAAUGAAGGAGAUGGAAUGUGUGUCUCUUGUAGUUCAUAUAUCUCCUACUUGGCAUGGGACUUGAUCUUGCUGACAGAGAUUGUUGCUUCACUCUUGAGAUGGCUAAGACAUAUGGCAGUUUGGCUGCGGCGAAAUACUUAUGUCAUAUAUGUGUUCUGGUUUUUGGUUCGUCUGAUCUACUACUUAGAUCUUGACAUAUAUGAUUUUAUCUUUCAUGGAAUGCUUAUAUACAUUUGAUGUUA